rnacentral:rRNA from 1 species
AACCAGCACCUCAAGUGGUCAGGAUGAUUAUUGGGCCUAAAGCAUCCGUAGCCGGCUCUGUAAGUUUUCGGUUAAAUCUAUGCGCUCAACGUGUGGGCUGCCGAAAAUACUGUAGAGAUAGGGAGUGGGAGAGGUAGACGGUACUCGGUAGGAAGGGGUAAAAUCCUGUCAUCCUGAGAGGACCACCUGUUGCGAAGGCGCCACACUAGAACGGAUCCGACGGUCAGGGACGAAGCCUAGGGGCACGAACCGG